rnacentral:lncRNA from 1 species
AGUAGGCGGGAGAAGAAAGGGUAGGGAACUUCCUUCCUGCCCCCUCCGAGUUUUGCCUCUCUCACUGGCAGCAACCCAGCGCUUCCAUUGCUGACCUCUACCGACCUCUACCUGUGGUCCUUCCUCUACUGCAGCAGAGACACUGUUUUCUUCCUUUGUUCUUCCAACCCCAUGGCACAGAAACACUCUCCACUGCGGCCAAGGAUUGCAGGAGAGGUGGCAUCAGUGAUUCAAGACUUCUUUUCCUACCUCUUCAGUGUUUCUUUCAGUGAUCUGAAGUUAAAGCCAGGGGGAAUAUCACAGAAGUGAAGUGCAAUUCUCAUCAUGUCAUAUCAAGAGCACACACUAACAAACAACAUGACUUAUUGCUGAAUAUUGAACUUGAUCACCUGGCUGAGGUGAAUAAACUGACACUGGAACAUUCAGGAACUUCUUCAUGGUCAUGGUCACCCAGCUAGAGUGUGGAAGCCAGGCUGUCUGAUUCCAGGAUCUGUGUUCUUAAUCCUAUACAUAAGGAAGCCAUAAUGAGUCAACCACUAUUUUUAAGAUUCACAGAUGUUCGGGUCCAAUUCACCAGAAUGCCAAGUUAUACAGGGUUGUGGAAUCAAAAACUGCAAUUAGUAAUAAAAUGUGAUGCUAUCUAGAAUGUUUUUCAUACAUAUAUAUGCUUCUUGGGACUCUCCCUGCAGGUUAAGAGAAAUUGAGAAACGAUGGAGAAUUUAAGUGUUUUAGAUCCUACAUACAUUAGACUUAAAAAUAGUAACUAUGUACAUGAGUAUUUGUAAACUUAAGAAUGAACAUAACAUGAACCAUGUGGCACCUAUAAAAUGAAAAUAAAAUACCUACAAACCAAAUGAGAGCAAUAAAAGAAGCUUUAAGGACUUUCACUUCAGGGAGUCUGAAUUAGAUGCGCUUCUUCCCAUUCCUCCCUCUAAUUACAACAAGCUUGGACGUUACAUACAGAACAAACAGAAGGAGUCUCUGAAAGAUGAAGAGAAGGCAAGUAAGCUACAGACUUCACAAUGUAAGGAAUAAUAUGGUGGUGAGUUACAUUUGUGAUUUUUUUUUGUCUCAUAUCCCAUAAUAUCUCAUAUCUCAUAAUCAGUUAGAAAGCACAAUGGAAAAGUAUUCCACUGCCAAUGGUGUUAGAGAACUGCUCACAAAUUCAACAGAAAUGCACAGAUACCAAAGCAGAAAGGACAAUAAACAAGAGUCUUCAUGGUCAAAAGAUUAGAAGCUGCAGCUUUCAAUGGGAGGGACAGGUUCUGGACCACACUGCAGUGCUUUUCUGCUUUCUGUGCUUUCCCACUCUAGAGCUGAAGAAGGUAACGACCCCAAAAUGUCAAUAUACGUAGACCAAAAACCAGCCCCAAUAAAAGUCUGCUCUCUCUAGCCAAAGGACUACAGUAGGGCAGCCCAGCAAGACAGAAAACCUUCAGACAACCUACCCCAGCCAAACACUACCAAAAAAAGUAAA